rnacentral:piRNA from 1 species
GGGUGAUGAGCUGGCUGACUCUGCUUU